GAUCAUGGCUCAGAUUGAACGCUGGCGGCAGGCUUAACACAUGCAAGUCGAACGGUAACAUGAGGAAGCUUGCUUCUUUGAUGACGAGUGGCGGACGGGUGAGUAAUGCUUGGGAAUCUAGCUUAUGGAGGGGGAUAACUACGGGAAACUGUAGCCAAUACCGCGUAGAAUCGAGAGAUGAAAGUGUGGGACCUUCGGGCCACAUGCCAUAGGAUGAGCCCAAGUGGGAUUAGG
rnacentral:rRNA from 1 species